GUAGGCACUGAGGUGUGGCUUCCAGGCUCAGCACCAAGGGCGCCAAAGCACAGAGGCUCACAGCCAGGCCAGGAGGCCCUGAGUAGAAGAAGGCAGUUGAGCUCCGGGGAGCCAGAGGAACCCCCAGGGAAGAUGAGAUGUGUGCAGCGGCCGGGCUGGCCAGUGAACCUCUUUGAACCUGCUUCCCCAUCUGAAAAGGCUGCUUUGAGUGGGGCUCCAGAUACUGCCAUGCUCCAGCCUGGGUGUGGCAGGCUGCAUUGGACAGCAUGUAGGAUCUUAGUUCCCUGACCAGGGAUUGAACCCAUGCCCUCGGCAGUGAAAGUGCAGAGUCUUAACCACUGGACUGCUAGGGAAGUCCUUGCCAACUUCUUAUGUUGUCAAUUAAAGUUAUUGUGACAA